AACACUGGGCCCAGCAGAUACAUUCUUAUUUCUACUUCUAUGGUAUUUCAUGAUGCUCAGACAUACUGCAGACAGCAUCACACAGACCUGGCUAGUGUGAUAGAUGCACAGGAAUAUUCUAUUUUACAACAAACAGUCACUUCUGAUUCUUGGGUUGGUCUGUUCAGAGACCUAUGGAAGUGGUCAGACCAGACCAACUUCUCUAACAUUAAUUGGGGGCAAGACCCAUGGAGUGUGGUGAUGACUGAUAAUUGUGGUAGUAUUAGUAAUGGCCUGGUUUAUCCUACACAAUGCUCUGAGAUAAUGCCUUUCUUCUGCCUCUCAGAUUUUACAAAAAAACAAAGCAUAAGAAUGAAGGUUAAAUCGGAUCAGGAUGUGAAUGAUCCUGCAGUAAAAGCAGCAAUCUUACAGAAGAUCAAACAAAAACUGACUGAGCAUGGGAUAACAGACAACAUCACACUGAAAUGGAGAGAGCAACCAGACGGCAUGGUCUUUCACAAGAUAAAAGUAAAUAAUGUUGAAGAAAAUAAGACCAGGGAAAACUGUGACCUCUAAAUCAGUUAAUUUAAGCAUUCUUUUCUUAAGAUAGAAAUUGAACACUUUUAAUGCCUUUUAGACUGUAUUGCAACAUUAAAUUAGAUUGAAAAUCAUCAUCAGCUUUAGUUAGAAGCAUUUUUAAUCAGAAGUUCUAUAGUCCACAUGCUUUACAGAUGUCAGUAGAUUAUAAAAUUACAUUGUACAUGUCCUGUACCCUUACAAUAUACAGUCAUGGGGGAAAAUAAUGUACAGCCCCCUCCAUUGUUUUUUAUUUAUCAGGGCCUAAACAACAAUUCUGUGGUCCUCACCAACUUUUAUAAACAAACAAAUAACAUCACAUGACAACAAAAAAACAACAGAUUUCAGUAUUCUUUUUUUCUAAAAAGUAAACCAACAUUAAGAAACCUGGUGGGCCAUACUCUUUCUCCUAACCACCUUUCCAUGAAAGGCAUACUUGUUAAUCUUUAUCUGAUUGUGUUGUCAUGAACAUAAAUAUUUUAUGUGCUUACAGAGGCCUGUAGCUCACUUGAUGUAGCUUUUGGAUUUUUCUUAAUAUAUCUCAAAGCAAUAAAACGGUCUGGCCUUGGACUUAAUUUGCUGGGACCCCACUCCUGGGAAGAUUGGCAACUGUAUUGUAGGCUCUCCAGUUGUAAACAAUCCUUCUCAGUGUAGAAUGGUGAAUUUCAAAUUGUUUGGAGAUGGCCUUAUAACCCUUCCCAGAUAGACAAGCAGCAACAAUUGCUCCUCUAAGGUCAUGGCUGAUGUCUUUUCUACUUGACAUGAUGUAGACACACACCUGAAUGCUCCAGAACAACAAACUGCCUAUAUAAAAGUUCUGCUUUUAGAGAGGCAGUUACACUUUGUGUUGAUUAACUAAACUUGUGUAUUUAUUUAGUAACACCUGGCUGCUUAUUAUUCCCUUAAUGAUUGUGGAAGUAGGAGGGGGGUACUUAUUUUUUCCCCAUCUGAUUUCUGAAUGUUGGUUUACAUUUUGGGAGAAAAUGACUAUAUAUUGAAAUCAUAUAUAUUGACAGUUUCCUCCCCCAGUCCAAAGACAUGCAUUGUAGGCUGAUUGGCAUUUCCAAUCACUGAUUGUGAUUUCUUUUCCCCAUGACUGUAUAAUAUUCUAAAAGAGGCUUAAUCAUUUAUCCAAUGUGCAUACACGAUUACAAAAUAUUUGUCAUUAUUUAUUAAUUAGAUAAUAUAUUCGUAACAGUAAAUGUAGAUAGAUAGAUAAAAGUUUAUAACCGAUGGCUAUAUAUGUAUGGAGUUUAAAAUAUUUUUAAUAUAUGUGUGUAAGGUAUGAAUUCAAUUGUUAUACGUUUUUGCAUUACCUAUAAUUAAAAUUGUUUGUGUAUAGGCCUAGUUAAUGUUUGUAUGUAUCAGUAAAUAUGAAUUUCAAUACAACAAAUAUUACUUCCACAAAUAUGUUUAUAUCCAUCUUUGACUAAUGGACUAAUGUGCUUGCAUUAUAUGCAGUCAUGUAUGACUAGGUAUCUCUAUACACUACAUCAAACUUAUGACACAAAAAUUCAUUAUGGGGUGGCACAAUGGUGCAACAGGUAGCAUUGUCUCCUCACAGCUAGAUGGUCCCCAGCUUAAUCUUGAACUAAGGUUACUGUCUGUUCCUAAGUUUUACAUUUUCUCCCCAUGUCCAUGUCGGUUUCCACACAGAGAUCCACUGCAACCCUUGCCAGGAUAAAGGCAAGUGUUGGUACUGCAAAAACAUAUAUAACAAUGAAAGAAUGAGAGAAUUAAUGCAUUAUAAACAGACCUUUUAACAGUACCUAAACUAUAACUGAAAUGUAUCAAAAUUAGUAUAGUGUUAUGUGUGCAAUCCAUUGGUAAACAUGUUUUAAAACAUACAAAUCAUCAAAUAAUCCAAACUAGUGAAUGAUUGGUGUGAAUCAACAACCGUUAUUUACAAAAUAAUACAAGCUAAAUUUAUUCAACAAGAGUUACCGACACCCAACCACCAUCCACCCCCACCCCCUACAAAAUAUAUAAACUAUAUAACUUAAUUAA